rnacentral:rRNA from 1 species
GGCUUGUUGAAUAUAAUUUUAAGUUGGACCUGCCCACUGAAGGUUUUAAAUGGCCGCGGUAAAUUGACCGUGCAAAGGUAGCAUAAUCAUUAGUUUUUUAAUUAAAAGCUUGAAUGAAAGGUUUGAUGAAAGAAUAACUGUCUCUACAGGAUUUAAUUAGAAUUUUAUUUUUAAGUUAAAAAGCUUAAAUUUGUAUGGAAGACGAGAAGACCCUAUAGAGUUUAAUAUUUAUAUAGUUGAAUAAAAAUUUAGAUUAGUUAUAUAAAUGUUUUGUUGGGGUGAUAAAAAAAUUAAUAAAACUUUUUUUUGUAAUAAAACAUUUAUUUAUGUACUUAUGAUCCUAUAAUAGAUAAAAAGAUAAAACUACCUUAGGGAUAACAGCGUAAUUUUUUUUAGAGUUCUUAUCGGAAAAAAAGAUUGCGACCUCGAUGUUGGAUUAAAGUUUACUAUUGGUGUAGAAGCUAAUUAGUUGGGUCUGUUCGACCUUUAAAAUUUUACAUGAUCUGAGUUUAAACCGGUGUAAG